AACGAACGCUGGCGGCAUGCCUAACACAUGCAAGUCGAACGAGACCUUCGGGUCUAGUGGCGCACGGGUGCGUAACGCGUGGGAACCUGCCCUUAGGUUCGGAAUAACUCCCCGAAAGGGGUGCUAAUACCGGAUAAUGUCUUCGGACCAAAGAUUUAUCGCCUUUGGAUGGGCCCGCGUUGGAUUAGCUAGUUGGUAGGGUAAAAGCCUACCAAGGCGACGAUCCAUAGCUGGUCUGAGAGGAUGAUCAGCCACACUGGGACUGAGACACGGCCCAGACUCCUACGGGGGGCAGCAGUGGGGAAUAUUGGACAAUGGGCGAAAGCCUGAUCCAGCAAUGCCGGGGGAGUGAUGAAGGCCUUAGGGUUGUAAAGCUCUUUUCCCCGGGAUGAUAAUGACAGUACCGGGAGAAUAAGCCCCGGCUAACCCCGU
rnacentral:rRNA from 1 species